CCUACGGGAGGCAGCAGUGGGGAAUAUUGGACAAUGGGCGAAAGCCUGAUCCAGCCAUGCCGCGUGUGUGAAGAAGGCCUUCGAGUUGUAAAGCACUUUCAGUGGGGAAGAAAGCCUUGGGGCUAAUACCCUCGAGGAAGGACAUCACCCACAGAAGAAGCACCGGCUAACUCCGUGCCAGCAGCCGCGGUAAUACGGAGGGUGCGAGCGUUAAUCGGAAUUACUGGGCGUAAAGCGCGCGUAGGCGGUCUGAUAAGCCGGUUGUGAAAGCCCCGGGCUCAACCUGGGAACGGCAUCCGGAACUGUCAGGCUAGAGUGCAGGAGAGGAAGGUAGAAUUCCCGGUGUAGCGGUGAAAUGCGUAGAGAUCGGGAGGAAUACCAGUGGCGAAGGCGGCCUUCUGGACUGACACUGACGCUGAGGUGCGAAAGCGUGGGUAGCAAACAGGAUUAGAUACCCCAGUAGUC
rnacentral:rRNA from 1 species